rnacentral:rRNA from 1 species
CGGUCGCAAGAUUAAAACUCAAAUGAAUUGACGGGGGCCCGCACAAGCGGUGGAGCAUGUGGUUUAAUUCGACGCAACGCGAAGAACCUUACCAGGUCUUGACAUCCAGAGAACUUUCCAGAGAUGGAUUGGUGCCUUCGGGAACUCUGAGACAGGUGCUGCAUGGCUGUCGUCAGCUCGUGUAGUGAGAUGUUGGGUUAAGUCCCGUAACGAGCGCAACCCUUAUCCUUAUUUGCCAGCGAGUAAUGUCGGGAACUUUAAGGAGACUGCCGGUGACAAACCGGAGGAAGGUGGGGAUGACGUCAAGUCAUCAUGGCCCUUACGACCUGGGCUACACACGUGCUACAAUGGCGCGCACAGAGGGCCGCAACCCCGCGAGGGUGAGCAAAUCCCACAAAACGCGUCGUAGUCCGGAUUGGAGUCUGCAACUCGACUCCAUGAAGUCGGAAUCGCUAGUAAUCGUGAAUCAGAAUGUCACGGUGAAUACGUUCCCGGGCCUUGUACACACCGCCCGUCACACCAUGGGAGUGGGUUGCACCAGAAGUAGCUAGUCUAACCGCAAGGGGGACGGUUACCACGGUGUGAUUCAUGACUGGGGUG